rnacentral:rRNA from 1 species
CACUUUUCUGAGAGAUGAGCAAGGACAGUAUCUCAGGAAUAAGUCUCGGCUAACUACGUGCCAGCAGCCGCGGUAAAACGUAGGAGGCAAGCGUUAUCCGGAUUCACUGGGCGUAAAGCGCGUGCAGGCGGUUCGGUAAGUUGGGUAUGAAAUCUCCUGGCUUAACUAGGAGAGGUUAUCCAAUACUACCGGACUUGAGAGUGGUAGAGGAAGAUGGAAUUCCCGGUGUAGUGGUGAAAUGCGUAGAUAUCGGGAGGAACACCAGUGGCGAAAGCGAUCUUCUGGACCAUUUCUGACGCUCAGACGCGAAAGCUAGGGUAGUAAACGGGAUUAGAGACCCCGGUAAUCCUAGCCGUAAACGAUGUAAACUUGGCGUCGGUGGCUUAAACACCAUCGGUGCCGCAGCUAACGCGAUAAGUUUACCGCCUGGGGACUACGAUCGCAAGAUUAAAAACUCAAAGGAAUUGACGGGGGCCGCACAAGCAGCGGAG